CGUCAGGGUCACAAGUGAGAAUUCAAGCAGCCUUUGUUACCACACCAGGUUUGUUUUUGCCCACUGCCUGGAAAGCCAAACACCAAGGUGACGAGAUUGCAGCAGAGAGAGGGUUUUAAUCAUAAGGCAGCCAAGUGAGGAAGUUGAAAUCUCCCUCAGUAGGGAAUGUCAGUUAACUGGUAGGAUGAGAAACAAAACAAGAAGAUCCACUUUUCCACCAAUUCUUCCAACAUGGCCAUGGAGUUCUGGGCCUAGAUCCACUCAGGAAUGAAGGACCUGUUCCCCUGCACCUGGGAGUACUGCCAGCAGACAACCUUCAGCUACCAGCCCCCUCUGAAGAUGGCCUUGGUGAAGAGAGACACCUCUCUCAAGGUCACACCUCCUUCCAGGGAGGGCUGCAUCCAAUGACCCAUCACGAUGGAGUCAUAAAGAUGUGUCACCUUACCCCAAGUUUGGACAUAUCUGAAGCCUUCUCCUUACUUUAGAACUUUCCAUAAAGUUGGUUGCAGCCUCUGCUGAGACUUCAUCACGGCUCAACUUCUCAAUCUCUCUUCCUUUGCUUCCCUCGUGCACUCCAGAGCACUCCUUAAUAAACCUCUUGCACGCUGAUCUCCAGCUGAGAGUCAGCUUCCCAGGGAGCCCAAGAUACAACCCAGUCAUAGUUAGUGCAAUAAGGAAGGAAGGAGGGAAGGGGGAAGGGAGAACAGAAGGAAAGGCAUAAGGUUAGAACAAAAAAAAAUAACUGUCAAAAUUUGAAUAUCACAUGACUAUAAAUUCAAAGGCUUGUACAAAAAAACUAUAGAAUAACUGAAUUUUAGUAAGGUUGCUGGAUACAAAAUCAAUUGUAUUUCUAUAAUAAGCAACAAACAAUUAGAAAAUAAACUUAAAAACAAGCAAAACUAAACUGAAUUGUUUGUGAACACACACAUUAAUGAUGAAACUAUAAAGAAACGAAGAUAAUGUGCCAUAAAAAAAAAACCCCUCAGGAUAAUGUUUACAUACAGGAA
ensembl:lncRNA